rnacentral:rRNA from 1 species
AAAGGAAUAGACGGGGACCCGCACAAGCAGCGGAGCAUGUGGUUUAAUUCGAAGCAACGCGAAGAACCUUACCAGGGCUUGACAUAUGCAUGACCAGUGUAGAGAUACACUAUUCUCUUCGGAGACAUGUAUACAGGUGGUGCAUGGUUGUCGUCAGCUCGUGUCGUGAGAUGUUGGGUUAAGUCCCGUAACGAGCGCAACCCCUAUCUUUAGUUACCAACAGAUAAUGCUGGGGACUCUAGAGAGACUGCCGGUGAUAAACCGGAGGAAGGUGGGGAUGACGUCAAAUCAUCAUGCCCUUUAUGUCCUGGGCUACACACGUGCUACAAUGGUCUGAACAAAGCGCAGCUAACUCGUGAGAGCAAGCGAAUCGCAGAAAACAGAUCUCAGUUCGGAUUGUAGGCUGCAACUCGCCUACAUGAAGUCGGAGUUGCUAGUAAUCGUGAAUCAGAAUGUCACGGUGAAUGCGUUCCCGGGUCUUGUACACACCGCCCGU